rnacentral:rRNA from 1 species
AAAGGAAUAGACGGGGACCCGCACAAGCAGCGGAGCAUGUGGUUUAAUUCGAAGCAACGCGAAGAACCUUACCAAGGCUUGACAUCCCUUGACCGCCAUGGAAACAUGGCUUCCCUUCGGGGCAAGGAGACAGGUGGUGCAUGGUUGUCGUCAGCUCGUGUCGUGAGAUGUUGGGUUAAGUCCCGCAACGAGCGCAACCCUUGUCAUUAGUUGCCAGCACGUAAUGGUGGGAACUCUAAUGAGACUGCCGGGGAUAACUCGGAGGAAGGUGGGGACGACGUCAAAUCAUCAUGCCCCUUAUGUCUUGGGCUACACACGUGCUACAAUGGCCGGUACAAAGGGCUGCGAAGGAGUAAUCCGAAGCGAAUCCCAUAAAGCCGGUCCCAGUUCGGAUUGUGGGCUGCAACCCGCCCACAUGAAGCCGGAGUUGCUAGUAAUCGCGAAUCAGCAUGUCGCGGUGAAUGCGUUCCCGGGUCUUGCACACACCGCCCGU